rnacentral:rRNA from 1 species
AGUGAACGCUGGCGGUAGGCCUAACACAUGCAAGUCGAACGGCAGCACAGUAAGAGCUUGCUCUUACGGGUGGCGAGUGGCGGACGGGUGAGGAAUACAUCGGAAUCUACUUUUUCGUGGGGGAUAACGUAGGGAAACUUACGCUAAUACCGCAUACGACCUACGGGUGAAAGCAGGGGAUCUUCGGACCUUGCGCGAUUGAAUGAGCCGAUGUCGGAUUAGCUAGUUGGCGGGGUAAAGGCCCACCAAGGCGACGAUCCGUAGCUGGUCUGAGAGGAUGAUCCGCCACACUGGAACUGAGACACGGUCCAGACUCCUACGGGAGGCAGCAGUGGGGAAUAUUGGACAAUGGGCGCAAGCCUGAUCCAGCAAUACCGCGUGGGUGAAGAAGGCCUUCGGGUUGUAAAGCCCUUUUGUUGGGAAAGAAAAGCAGCAGGUUAAUACCCCGCUGUUCUGACGGUACCCAAAGAAUAAGCACCGGCUAACUUCGUG